rnacentral:rRNA from 1 species
AGUGAACGCUGGCGGUAGGCCUAACACAUGCAAGUCGAACGGCAGCACAGUAAGAGCUUGCUCUUACGGGUGGCGAGUGGCGGACGGGUGAGGAAUACAUCGGAAUCUACUUUUUCGUGGGGGAUAACGUAGGGAAACUUACGCUAAUACCGCAUACGACCUACGGGUGAAAGCAGGGGAUCUUCGGACCUUGCGCGAUUGAAUGAGCCGAUGUCGGAUUAGCUAGUUGGCGGGGUAAAGGCCCACCAAGGCGACGAUCCGUAGCUGGUCUGAGAGGAUGAUCAGCCACACUGGAACUGAGACACGGUCCCGACUCCUACGGGAGGCAGCAGUGGGGAAUAUUGGACAAUGGGCGAAAGCCUGAUCCAGCCAUACCGCGUGGGUGAAGAAGGCCUUCGGGUUGUAAAGCCCUUUUGUUGGGAAAGAAAAGCAGCAGGUUAAUACCCCGCUGUUCUGACGGUACCCAAAGAAUAAGCACCGGCUAACUUCGUG